UGGGGAAUAUUGCGCAAUGGGCGAAAGCCUGACGCAGCGACGCCGCGUGAGGGAUGAAGGUUUUCGGAUCGUAAACCUCUGUCAGAAGGGAAGAAACCGCACUGUGCUAAUCAGCAGUGCCUUGACGGUACCUUCAAAGGAAGCACCGGCUAACUCCGUGCCAGCAGCCGCGGUAAUACGGAGGGUGCAAGCGUUAAUCGGAAUUACUGGGCGUAAAGCGCACGUAGGCUGCUUUGUAAGUCAGGGGUGAAAUCCCACGGCUCAACCGUGGAACUGCCUUUGAUACUGCUUAGCUUGAAUCCGGGAGAGGGUGGCGGAAUUCCAGGUGUAGGAGUGAAAUCCGGAGAUAUCUGGAGGAACAUCAGUGGCGAAGGCGGCCACCUGGACCGGUAUUGACGCUGAGGUGCGAAAGCGUGGGGAGCAAACAGG
rnacentral:rRNA from 1 species